GAAUGUAGGUACAUAUGUAGAAGUGUAUUUAUGAAUAUAUGAAGAUACGUAUGAGUGUAGGCAUGUAUGUAUUGAGGUAUGGAUGUAUGCAAGAGUAUAUGUAAGUAUGAUUUUGGAUACGUUAAGUGUUAAUGAUAUUAAUCAUGUACCUGGAAAACGAAGAUUUACGCAGGUACAUUAUUGAAGACUCACAAGGGAAUGGAUACGCUAAUGAUAUGCUUAAAGUUGUACGAAUCACGGGUGGUUAUCACGAGGAAUAGAGCUCGAAGAGCGAGUCACAAGCUAGAUUGUACGGGAAUAACUGAAUAUGUAUUAUUAGUAAUCAGGGCUUAUGCUUUAUUUUUUUUUGUAAAAGAUGCAUAUUAAAACGUACUUUCAAGUAAGUCAUGACGUUAAUAAUGAAAGAAAUUUUAUGGCA